GACAGAGGGUGCAAACGUUGUUCGGAAUUACUGGGUGUAAAGCGCGUGUAGGCUGCUCAGAAAGUCGGAUGUGAAAGCCCUUGGCUCAACUGAGGAAGUGCACCCGAAACUGAGUGGCUUGAGUACUAAAGAGGGUCGCGGAAUUCCCGGUGUAGAGGUGAAAUUCGUAGAUAUCGGGAGGAACACCGGUGGCGAAGGCGGCGACCUGGGUAGAUACUGACGCUGAGGCGCGAAAGCGUGGGGAGCAAACAGG
rnacentral:rRNA from 1 species